rnacentral:lncRNA from 1 species
GUAGUCGGAUCUUAGGGUUUGUUCAGGAAGUACCUUUAGCUUCUUGUAGGGAUGGUGGCGCGUGGAGGCGUACGGUUGCUCAUUCCUCUGUUCCGGUUGAAGUCUUCGUGUGGUUUACUUAGGACAGUGGGUGAGAGGCGUGUAGAAGUAGAUUCAUUGUUCUGCCUUGGCAUCUUGGUUUAACGAGUUCUGUCUUCUCUCUUCGUGAGAGCUUUGGAGAGUUCCUUUAUCUCAAAGGUGGGUUCUAACCCUUGUUGCUGGCGUUGUGGUGUUGGCUCGUGGAGAGUGACAUCACUGCGGUGUCGGAGGCAGUCGUCCAUGGCUACAUCGAGGCGGUGAAGUCACCUCUCUCUCAUCAAUUUGUUCUCUUCCCGGCUAUCUGAUUCAGUCACCUGCAGGAGGCAUGUCGACUUGCUCCUUGCGGGUUUAUCUCCUGUUUUGUUAAUGUGUAGUCUGAACCGUGCCACCGGUUUCAUUCAUCGACAUCAAAGACUGAUCUUUCUUCGGUUCUCGAAGAGGACGACUGACGAGGAGCUCGGAAGAUCCUUGUGGUCUGAGGAGUUUUCCCCUCCUUGGUGGCUCAGUCGGCUGUGUGACUUAUCCCAGUACCGUGAGUAGCUUCUCAUGGUGAUGUUGCAUAGCUAUAGUUUUUGCAGGUGUUGGAGUGUUAGCUGGAUCAAGUAGCAGCCGUCUUUCCGGACCCGUCUUUCUGCAUCUCCGUCCUUGGUGCGAGGUUUCCUUCGAUCUCUUCGUCUCCGGGCGGUUUCAGCUUUGUAGAAGAUUGUAUAGUGGGAUAUGGAGCGAUUUUCAAAGGUUUAUGCUCUAUAUCCCUCUCUUCUAUAAUGCCUUCGUGUUUAAUGGAAGAGACGAUUAUAAGUUCGAGACUCACCGAGAGCUAGCUACAUCAAAAACAGCAUGAAUAGUCCCGGCAUCCGAAGAAAUGAGGAGAACCUCACCUAUUCAUGGUCAUUGUUGAAGGUCGAGAACGGUACCCGAAUUUCCUAAUGAUUUAACGGCUAGCGGAACGUGUUGGGUUUAGUGGGUGGGCGAAGUUAGUAUGUUUAUGUUUGGAUUUGGGAAAUUUUUGUCGGGCUUGUAAUCGGAUCUUAUUCCCGUUUAUCGGGUUGAUUAAUAUAA